AUUGAUGAGUUGGUGCUCGAUCUGAGAAACAGUGGAGAGCCGCUCUCCACAUUUAACCAUCCCCAAAUGGUGCCAGUCGUCUAAAGACAUGCCUGAACAAGUGACAGUGUUUGACAGACCUUAUAUCUCCUUUCUAUCACACCAAAAUCUCUGUAGUGAGCUCAGGCAAUGUUUUGACCUGCUGGUGUGCUGAUGCACUUCAGGAUAAAAAGAAUUGGUCCACAUUGUAGCAAUAACUUCCAGGAAGAAACGAGUGGAUUGGACCAGAUUAUCUCUACAAUUUCUUCCAGUGCAAACACUCUGUGAAUGAAGGCACUUGCCUUCUCUCUAAACUGGAAGCCUCUUGAGGGCAGGACUGCAUCUACCUCCUCUCUGUACCCCUGCAGCACCCAGUACAGUGCCCAGCAAUGGACUGGAACCAAACCAGCAGAGCAAAACCAGGUCUUCAUUCUAAUAAUUUCAAGGAAUGCCAGAGCUAACCUGAUGUUCACAAGAGAGCACUUACUGUAAAAAUAAUUUAGCCA